GGACGAACGCUGGCGGCGCGCCUAACACAUGCAAGUCGAACGGACAUUGAGAGCUUGCUCUCAAAGUUAGUGGCGGACGGGUGAGUAACACGUGAGCAACCUGCCUUUCAGAGGGGGACAACAGUUGGAAACGACUGCUAAUACCGCAUAACGUUGUGAGGGGGCAUCCCCAUACAACCAAAGAUUUAUCGCUGAAAGAUGGGCUCGCGUCUGAUUAGAUAGUUGGUGAGGUAACGGCCCACCAAGUCGACGAUCAGUAGCCGGACUGAGAGGUUGAACGGCCACAUUGGGACUGAGACACGGCCCAGACUCCUACGGGAGGCAGCAGUGGGGGAUAUUGGACAAUGGGGGAAACCCUGAUCCAGCGACGCCGCGUGAGGGAAGAAGGUUUUCGGAUUGUAAACCUCUGUUGACAGGGAAGAAAAUGACAGUACCUGUUCAGAAAGCCACGGCUAACUACGUGCCAGCCGCCGC
rnacentral:rRNA from 1 species